CGGCGGACGGGUGAGUAACGCGUGGGUAACCUGCCUCAUACAGGGGGAUAACAGUUAGAAAUGACUGCUAAUACCGCAUAAGCGCACAGGACCGCAUGGUCAAGUGUGAAAAACUCCGGUGGUAUGAGAUGGACCCGCGUCUGAUUAGUUAGUUGGUGGGGUAACGGCCCACCAAGGCGACGAUCAGUAGCCGGCCUGAGAGGGUGAACGGCCACAUUGGGACUGAGACACGGCCCAAACUCCUACGGGAGGCAGCAG
rnacentral:rRNA from 1 species